rnacentral:rRNA from 1 species
CGCUGGCGGCGUGCUUAACACAUGCAAGUCGAACGGAAAGGCCUCUUCGGGGGGUACUCGAGUGGCGAACGGGUGAGUAACACGUGAGUAACCUGCCCUUGACUUUGGGAUAACUUCAGGAAACUGGGGCUAAUACCGGAUAGGAGCUCCUGCUGCAUGGUGGGGGUUGGAAAGUUUCGGCGGUUGGGGAUGGACUCGCGGCUUAUCAGCUUGUUGGUGGGGUAGUGGCUUACCAAGGCUUUGACGGGUAGCCGGCCUGAGAGGGUGACCGGCCACAUUGGGACUUGAGAUACGGCCCAGACUCCUACGGGAGGCAGCAGUGGGGAAUAUUGCACAAUGGGUGGAAGCCUGAUGCAGCAACGCCGUGUGCGGGAUAACGGCCUUCGGGUUGUAAACCGCUUUCGCUCAUGACGAAGCUUUGUGUGACGGUAGUGGGUAAAGAAGCACCGGCUAACUACGUG